GACCUCAAAUCAGGUAGGACUACCCGCUGAACUUAAGCAUAUCAUAG
rnacentral:rRNA from 1 species